rnacentral:rRNA from 1 species
UACGUAGGGUGCAAGCGUUAAUCGGAAUUACUGGGCGUAAAGCGUGCGCAGGCGGCUUUGCAAGACAGAUGUGAAAUCCCCGGGCUUAACCUGGGAACUGCAUUUGUGACUGCAUGGCUGGAGUGCGGCAGAGGGGGAUGGAAUUCCGCGUGUAGCAGUGAAAUGCGUAGAUAUGCGGAGGAACACCGAUGGCGAAGGCAAUCCCCUGGGCCUGCACUGACGCUCAUGCACGAAGGCGUGGGGAGCGAACGGG